rnacentral:rRNA from 1 species
UACGUAGGGUGCGAGCGUUGUCCGGAAUUAUUGGGCGUAAAGAGCUCGUAGGCGGUGUGUCGCGUCGGUCGUGAAAGCUUGGGGCUUAACCCUGAGCUUGCGGUCGAUACGGGCAUCACUGGAGUUCGGCAGGGGAGACUGGAAUUCCUGGUGUAGCGGUGAAAUGCGCAGAUAUCAGGAGGAACACCGGUGGCGAAGGCGGAUCUCUGGGCCUGUUCUGACGCUGAGGCGCGAAAGCUAGGGGAGCGAACAGG